AAACAAUAGAAGGGAGAAAGGAGAAGAAGAAGGAGGAGAAAAGCAAGGGAAGAGGAGCUACCCAUUGAAGGAGUAGAACCAAGAGGUGACGAGACAACAUGGCCCGAGGCCAUCGACUAUCCAUCAUCACCUAGGACUCAAGAUGUUGAUUCAGGUAACCAUCCGAAGUCUGUGGUUGAGGAGCUGCCUCUCUACGGAGAUGACCUCUGGGGCGAGGAGCUAGAUGUUAAUUGAGAUGUUGAUUCAGGUAACCAUCCGAAGUCUGUGGUUGAGGAGCCUACUUUCUACGGAGAUGACAUCUGGGACGAGGAGCUAGUUUCGUAUAAGAAUGGUUUUAUAUGUGAUAAUUGUGCAUUCUGAGCAUACUAAGGAUGAGAGUAACAUCUUCCUUUUGAUUUGUUUUGUACUCAUCAGAUAUUGCCCUAUGUUGUAGUAGCACUAAUACCUAUUAUGGACUUAGAAUUUGUUGAUUAUGUUUGUUUGUUGGUAAUAAUCCGGAUCAUGGUAUUGCAUUCAUAUUGUUUUGGUUGACCAUUUUUAUUAUUUUUAUUUCAUGAUUUGCUGUGGAUGUUUGUGUGUACCUCUCACUGGGCUUCGUGGAAGCUCACACCCGUUGUUGUCCCUUUUUUAGAUGUUGAUUCAGGUAACCAUCCGAAGUCUGUGGUUGAGGAGCCUACUUUCUACGGAGAUGACAUCUGGGACGAGGAGCUAGUUUCGUAUAAGAAUGGUUUUAUAUGUGAUACUUGUACAUUCUGAGCAUACUAAGGAUGAGAGUAACAUCUUCCUUUUGAUUUGUUUUGUACUCAUCAGAUAUUGCCCUAUGGACAUGAUUGUAAUUUUGAUUUAGUUGUGAAAACCUUCUUUUUUGUAAAUAUGUUAAAUAUCAUUAGAUAUCUCUUACCAAAAA